AAUAGGGAUGAAAAUGCAAAAAAAAUGAAAAGUGAGGACGUUUUACACAAUAAACAUUAAAUCUAGGGAUGUUUUGUGCUAAUAACCCUUUUCAAAAAUAUUAUUCAUUACGAAAAUAGCAUUUGUUCAUGGCAUACUGAAUAUUGGUACUAGAUUGAAAAUAGUUUCUAGAAAAUGGUCCGGAUGAUUCAUAAGUCACUGUUUUUAGUGGAAUGGCACCAUUUGUAAUGACAUAUAAAGAAGUCUUCUUUGAAUGAGAAAAUGGGCAACCUUCUCUUUUCAGGUCUUACCAGUAAUUUGCAGUGGUUCCAUAUAGAUUCUAGCUCCCUUGGACUGAUUUGUUAUCAUAUAUUAAUUUCUGGAUUCUUCUCAAAGUAAUCAUGAUUGGACCCGAAUGUUCGGCCCAAAUGUGUGUAAGUUGUGACUGCAUCAAAUUUACCUAGGUGGCGAACCAGGGAGAAAGGUCGCCACUUCUUAGAAUUAGUCAAGCGAAACUUGAAGACCCGAGUCAUAAAAAAAAAGGUCCUAAUAUUAAAGUCUAUGCCACAAGAAAAAAUUUGAUAUCUUAAACAAAUAACAAAUGGUAAGACAUUAAACGUUUUUAACAUCAUGACCUGAUUUUUUAGGUGUUCAAGAAGGUGAAAAGUGCUUAUUCAAUCAAUACCAUGUCAAAAUAGGAAAAAUUGGCAAUGUUAAACUUUUGACGCAUAAUGGAUUGCAUCAAAUUAUUCAUUAGUGGUAAAAUAUAUUGUAUUUUGCUCUGUCAUUUAUUUUUAUCGUUUUGCAUUAUUCUCUAGAUGAAUGACCUGUAUGAUACUCUGGAUGGCCGUGUAUCAGCUUUGGAGAAGCUGAAAGAAGAAGAGGCAACGAAGCAUGUGGAAGUAGCAGAAUAGAAGUUUUGGCUGUAGUUUUGUAAUCAAGAGUGAAAUGUUGGUCAAAUGCUUGUCCUCCUCGAAUUUUAUUCAUGUUUAGUUCCUUGAAGCAUUUGUUCUUACUGUGUUUUUACAGCUUUCAAAUGGCGCUCUGAUUAUUAUUUGAGAUUGGACAUUUUUAAGAAAGCUAAUAUUCCUCUCUUCAAUUAAAGAAUGGUUAGGUAUACUAAUUGUUACAGAUUUUACAGUCGUCUUAUUUUUCUCAGAACUGUAAAACUCGUUUCAGUUUUACAACUGUGUCACUUAAUCGUCCUUUAAAGUCGAG
rnacentral:lncRNA from 1 species